AGCUCCAAUAGCGUAUAUUAAAGUUGUUGCGGUUAAAAAGCUCGUAGUCGGAUUUCUGCCGAGGACGAACGGUCCGCCUUCGGGUGUGUAUCUGUCUCAUCCUGGGCAUCUUCUAGGAGAACGCUGUUGCACUUGAUUGUGUGGCGCGGUAUCCUAGACAUUUACUUUGAGGAAAUUAGAGUGUUUCAAGCAGGCAUUCG
rnacentral:rRNA from 1 species